rnacentral:lncRNA from 1 species
CCUGCUGAAUAGGGUGUAACUGCUAACGAGGACCAAAGUUGCACUGCUGAUGAAUCACCUACAUCCAUUGAAAAUGCAGCGUCCCCGACAAAAAGGGACGUUAGUACAUAUGGAAUAGUACUAAUAUGUAAAGCUAACUGUCCUCUUUUAAAAUAGAAUACCGAUGUAAAAAAAAAAGAAGGAAAUCCAUAGAAUCAACAAGUCACAAUCAAUGAUAUUCAAAUGCCAAGUUAAAACAUAAUAAUUUCCAAAAUAUGAAGAUAACAUUGUGAAGUGAUAAUCAAAUUAUGAUGAUAAUAUUAUUUUUGAUUGGGAGAUCUUUAGCACCGAUAUACCACUGUUCACAAUACUAAUGUUAAUAAUACCAAUAUUCACAAUAUCAGUGUUCACAAUACCGAUGUUCAAAAUACCAAUGCCACCGUACUUUUAGCACGAAGUCCAAUCACGUCCCGACUGGCUAGGCUAUCUCAUUAGAGACAUCAAUCACAAUUACUACCAUUAUCAAUACCACCGUAAUUUUAGCACAGAGUCCGAUCACGGCCCGAUCGGCUAGGCUAUCUCUUUAGAGAAUCAACCACAAUUACUAUCAAUACCAAUACCACCAUAAUUUUAGCACGGAGUCAAUUCGGAAUAGUUGAAUCAAGGCUCAUUUCAUAACCUUUCUCAUAUCAUUUCAUUUCAUUUGCUCCAUUGGCCACAAUAUAACUUUCACUUAUAUCAAUCAUCGCAUUUUAUACUUCUUUCACAUCUUUUAAUUCCAUUGGCACCAUUGUCCACAAGUAUAACUUUUACUUAUAUCAAUCAUCGNNNNNNNNNNNNNNNNNUUAGGUACACAUAUGAGCAAUUAAGAGUCUUAAGCAUAUUGAGUUUUCUCACACAAUUUGGAAUCGUAACUUUCAUUUGAAACACAACUCAAAGACAUAGCAUUUUAAUACACAUAUCAUUCUUGAACACAUUCCCAAAGGAUAACAUAAUGUGUUAGGAACAUUCGGAACAUGUUUUGAAUACUUAAUUCCUGACACUUUGCUUAUUCGGGACAAUCGGAUUUAUUGGGAACAACUAGGAACAUAGAAUAAGGAACUUGAGACAACAAUACUUGAAACUUAUGAGAACAUCAUUGAAUUCAAUUCUAAGAGAGUAGUUUAGCCAACAUACCUUACUUUUAGCUUUCCUUAAAUUACUACAAGUUCCGGAAAUUCUAGCAAUCCCAAUCUAUUUUGAGACAUAACAAAAUUAAACCAUUAUUAGGAAGAUAUUCAUGGUCUCAGCUCAUUUGAGCAUUUUAUCAAACGCUAGGUGUGCAAAUUUAACUACAAGAUUCUUCUACAAGAUUUCUUUCACUCCACAACCCAAUCAUUACUUAUUUGAGCUCAACAAUCUUUUUACAAACCUUAUUAGUACAAGCAUGUAUAAAUAAUACUCUUACACCCAAGAAUCAUACUCCCAAUUACCCAUCUUUUCCCCAAACUCGAAAUUGAAAACUAGGGGUUUGAAUCUUGCCUCUUAGAUGAAGAUCUUGUGAGAUUUCCUUGUUGGAUUUCAAAGCUUGGGCAAGAUCUUGAUGAACAAAACACUUAAUCUACUUUCUCUCUCUAGAACACUCUAACUUCUCUUUAAAAACCCUUAGAUAAUCGUCCCAAAAUAAACCCCAAAGCCUAUUUAUCAAAAUGGGGUCGGGUUAUGAAAAUAAAAAAAUUAACCCUACAAAAGCAGGUCUGUGGUCGCAUAAUGGACCGCAGAAUGGGUAUGCGGGUCGCAAAAAUCGGUGCCCAGAACUGGGCUAUUCUGGUCCAUUCUACGACCAGUUUGCGGUCGCAGAAGCAGUUUCGCGAUCGCAUAAUUAUUCUGCGAUCGCAGAAUUAGUCGCAGAAUCGCAUUUUUCCAGCAUUUGGUAAUUUGGUCAUAACUUCUUGUAGGAGUGUUCAAAUGACGAACGGUUUGAAGCGUUAGAAACUAGACACAUAGACAUUUCAUUUGAUCAGUAAUACACCAUAUAAAUCUUCAAAUCAAGAUAGGUAUGCUCGUUUGAAUUUAGGUCUUGUGCGAACUCACUUGAAACUUUAUCCCAUCAUAAAAUGUUCAACUUGACUUAGCCUUGGGGCUCUUCUUAGACCAUAAACCAUUAUUAAUGCACCUCAUACAUAUAUUAUCAUGAUCAAUUGAUAUUAUUCAUAUAAUAAUCCUUGUCUACACACAAAAUAAUAUAAUUAGCGCACAUCGACUUUCUUAAUAGCGCUUAAGUACUUCAAAAAUUUUCGGGGUGUUACAUUCUCCCCCACUUAAGAACAUUCAUCCUCAAAUGUUUUACAAGUCACUUCUAAUAAUAGAGUUACCAUCCUUUUACCUCCAGCCAUUAUACAUAGGCGCUUAUGACUACAUGGGUCUUAUACUUCCUUUCCAAAACCUCAACUUACUUAUGGCCCUUAAAAUUUGGCCAUCUUUACAAAUUCAUAAAACUUUCGGCAGAGUUUCCCUUGUAGGUGGGCCUAUCCACCUGUCAGAUAAUCACCAAAAUCAACCUAUCACAUACACAACUUGACAAAGCAUCACCAUAUAUAUCAACAUCACAAAUCUCAUCAUUACAGGCAUUAUAUUAUCAAGAGUGAUAUCUGGACAUGCGCUGCACAUAUUUAAAUUAUAACACAUAGAAAGUACCUUCCAAAUCACAAUCAUUUGACUAUAUACUCAAGUGAGAACAGUUUAUUUCCUUAACACUUUUUGGCCCUUAAGGUGGCCUCCUCGACUUACCGACUUCGCCAUAACACAUUAACGGAGGCAAUCUCAACUUCCAGACUUUUCGAACAAGGAUAGGAAAUAGUUGCUCCUCAUAAUCAAAUUAUCCAUUAACUUCACCUUCUUAAACAUAGACAAAUGAAACACCGGGUACACGAAGAACAAUAAUAGGGAAACACCAUACUCAUAGUUUGGCCUAUUUCCUUCGAGAUUUCAUAAAGCCUAAUAUGACGACAUAUACUUUACCUUCCUUAACAAUUCACACAAUAUAUUCAUAGAGAAAUAUUUAGAAUAACCCGUUCACUUUCUUCCAUUCUAAAUCUCUAUGCCGAACACCCAAACUAAAACUUUUGUGACAUCGAACAAUUACUCUAAUAUGUGCUAGCAUGAAUAUGACCAUAAACUUUUCUGUCCAAUAUAUUUGAUCACGGAAUGAUGCUUCUUCUUUGACAUGUUUGAACCUUUAACCCCCAUAGGUUUACUAAAAAUAGGAACAACGAGGUUCGAGAUUGGGAUGAAAUUAUUCAAGAAUCCAUCAAUGUGCCGAGCACGACAUUUCAGGAUGUUAUAUNNNNNNNNNNNNNNNNNNNNNNNNNNNNNNNNNNNNNNNNNNNNNNNNNNNNNNNNNNNNNNNNNNNNNNNNNNNNNNNNNNNGAUACGAUAAACUUGUCUUUCAAAUCAAUAUGCUCUCAUGUUACUAGACGGUGAAAAGGAUUCGUGAUAAUAUACACAAAGGAACAAAGUGAUUGUUCAAACCAUAUGAGCCACAUACACCAGAGAGAAAAAGAGUGACUCAAGAAGGAUCUCAACACUAGGUUGCUUUACAUUCGAUUUGAUACCACAUAGGUAAAUAUUAUGGUGGUGCGUGCAUAGGCACAAAUGACCAGAUGUUAUCCAUUUGAAUCAAAAGGUUCAGUACGAAAUCCAUCAGGUAUAGUCCUUUGUUGAGAAUUUAAGAAAGCAAGUGGAAAGUAUUAAUCCUAGAGUUAUAACUCAAUUCAAGGACAUAACUAUAGAGCUCAAUUCCACAAGAGGUUUUAAAUAAGAGAAUUUAUGAUAGAGUGGAUUCACGAAUAAUGUAUCUCUUUCAAAGAGUAGAUAUAUGCAAUGUUUUGUGAUUCAACAUUUUGGUUAAGACCAUAUUUAUGUAGGCCUCUUCAAUAUGGAUGUACAUAUACAACAAGGAAAAUAAUGCGGUGUUCAUAAUGAUGUAUUAAGUAGUGACUUACUUGAUGACUUUAGAUUGAUAGGGCAGUACCUUAAUUGAUGCCCCUCUACUCCACAUCCAAAACAUACAUUAGUACCAUAGUGACAUACCCCCUAAUGAUAUUUCAUACACUUCACACAAUGAGGAUGGGAUCCGCUAAACUGAUUCUCCCCACUUACCCAAUAUUUACCCUUUUUUUAUACAUCAUAAGCAUUCCCCUUAGUCUUCCUCCAAGCCUUCAUGGUGGGAGUAACAAUCUCUGCAACAGCUCGUUGUAUGGACUUUUGGAAUUGCCUUAAUCUACCACCCCUAACAUGCUCAGAGUUUUGAUCUAUAUACUGAGAUCGAAAUCGCUAAGGGGCUCGAGGCCGAGGCCAAUAAAUUGGCUUACCUUGAGGAAGAAGAAGAAGAAGAAGACUCUGAGGGUUCCGAUGGAACCGGGGGCGAAGAAGGCCAGGCUAUUUAGACGCCUUUGUAGAUGUUCUUGCUUUUUUUCGUACUUAUGCACUUUGCACUUUUUGUUAAGGCCAUUUGGCCUUUGUAAAAACUGUAUAUAAUAUACAAGGCUUGUUUUUCCAUUCGACAGUUUAAGAAUUUUGUUUUCCUUUGCUUUACUCUUUAUGUUUGCAAAGAUCUAAAUGCCUUAACAUAAAAUAGUUAGGUCAUGUUCGGAGGUUUGAACAGGCCUUGCCUUCGACAUUAUUUUGCUUAAGGCAUCAUGGGGGUUCAGUAUGACAUAAACCUUUUUCCCCAAAAUACUUAUGAAUUUUUAGAUUAUAGUUUGCCGAAGGUAACCUUUAGAACUGGUUAUGAAAUUGUGAAGGCCUUAUUUUUUGUUACGGGUCUCGGACGUCUCCGAGCCAUUUUAAUAUAGCCGUAGACUUUAGUUUGGGUGUUUUCAGUGGGUUUAUUACCCCGAAGUAUCCAGGAUUGCCUAAGAUAACAGUCUCUGAAUGGGGAUGGCCGUAGCCUUUAAGGUUCGGGCGCUGUCUAAUAGGUCUCGUGCCCUCAAGCUCCGAUAGCACGAGCCUACCGAGUUUGUUUUUGGACUGCAGUCCUCGAUUGGGGGUGAUCGUUUGAGCCCAGAUAAAGGUGGCCCUUAGGCUCGAUACCUUUAGGGGAUCGAAUGUAAGAAAUUCCUUGAGAGGAAAAGAAAAAAGAGACAUUCUUAAGGGACAAGAUAUUUAUCCGCAAGGUAGAAACAUCUUUUUAUUCUUGUGCGUAAUAGUUGUACACGUGUACAAGUUUUGUUCCAAGGCUCGAGUAGUCUAUGCGGACAUGGUUCAUUUGACUGUUUAACCCUUACCGUAAAUCCUAUUGAUUAAGCCGAGACCAUUCAAUCAUAAAGUUUCCUUCCUUGCUAAAGUCGUUAUCCGAGGGUUAUUCCCCCAGUGUUUGUGGCCGAGCAUAAAGAGGCCUCGAAUAUUGUUGUCGUGAUCUUCGAUACCGAUUCAUAACCGGCCUUCAAUUCUAAGAUAGAACAAUUUAUUGUUGCCUCGUUAGAAACCUUGCCGGAAAAUCCAUUUGGGACAAAAUCAGUUCAAGGGAAAAAGAGUGUAACGCGUGCUUUCUGGCCUAAAGAUUGUAUCAUUCUUUGAUGAUUGCCUGCAAGUGUUAGUUCGUAAUAUAAAUAAAUAAAAGGAAAUGAAUGGGGUCAUACCUUAACAGUAGUAUCGCUUCAAGUAUGUUAUGUUCCAGUUGCUUGGUAGUUGCUCACCGUUCAUUGUUCUGAGCUUGUACGAUCAUUUACCGGUGAUCUCGAUAAUUUGAUAAGGUCUUUCCUAGUUCGGCCCCAGCUUUCCUUCGUUUGGGUUUCGAGUGUUUAAUGUGACCUUCUUUAACACUAAGUCCCCAACAUUGAAGUGUCUAAGGUUAUCCCUUUGAUUGUAGUAUCUCUCGAUCCGCUGUUUUUGGGCGCCUAACCGGACAAGGGUUGCUUUGCGCCUUUCAUUUAAUAGAUCUAGGCUCGUGUUCAUAGCCUCGUCGUUCGAUUCCUUGGUUACAUAUCAGAACUUGAGACUUGGUUCUCUGACUGGUAUUAGAGCUUUGGCGCCAUAAACUAAUAAGAACGGGGCGGCCCCGGUACUGGACUUCGAGGUCUUACGAUAUGCCAAUAAGAUUUCGAGCAGUAUUUCCUUCCAUUUUCCUUUGGCGUCGGUCAACCUCUUCUUGAGGUUUUGGAGUAUGUUUUUGUUGGUCGAUUCUGCUUAUCCGUUCCUGCUAGGGUAGUUGAUAGGAUCAUUUUGAUCUUAUGAUCUUCGAGAAACUUGCUAACUUUGCUGCCGAUGAAUUAUUUCCUGUUGUCGCACAUGAUCUCGGCUGGCAUUCCGAACCGGCAUAUGACGUGGUCCUAAAUAAAAUCGAUGACUUCCUUCUUCUUAACCUUUCCGUAUGCGUGGUCUUCCACAUACAUAGAAAAAUAGUCACUCAUAAACAAUAUAAAUUGAGCAUUAUCAGGUGCCCACGGAAGGGGCCAACAAUAUCCAUUCUCCACUUCAUGAAUGACCAUGGUGACAAAAUCGAAUGCAACAGCUCCCCGGGCUGAUGAAUCAUCGGAGCGUGUCUUUGAUAUUCAUCAUAUUUUUGUACGAACUCCUUCACGUCCUUUUCCAUAUCGAUCUAGUAGUAGCCGACUCUGAUCACUUUCCGAACCAAUGAUUAGGCGCCUAAAUGAUUUCCACAUGUGCCUUUGUGGAUUUCCCUCAAAACUUACUUGAUAUCCCCUGGUCCUAGACAUAUCGUGAGUGGGCCGUCGAAUAUUUAUUUGAACAGAGUUCCAUCUCCGGACAACUAAACCGGGUUGCCUUUGUAGGCUGGGCCCUUGAUUAUUUUGCACCCGAGGGUAAUUUUCUAGUCUUCAAAUAUUCUAUAUAUUUAUUUCUCUAGUCCCAAGUUAGACUCGUUGAGUUAAUCUCGGCAUGGCCUUCUUCCACUACCGAUCUCAUAAGUUGUACGAAUUCCCCCGAGUUGAACUCGUCGUCCUUGACCGAUGACCCUAAAUUAGUGAGGGCAUCCCCCUCACUAUUUUUAUCUCGAGGUACAUGUUACAAAGUUCAUUCUUUGAACCGAUGUAAUGUUACCUGCAACUUAUCUAGGUACCUUUGCAUUCGUUCUUCUGUGACUUCGAAUGUCCCAUUAACUUGGUUAACCACAAGGAGGGAGUCGCACUUGGCUUCGAUCACUUCUUCCCCCAAGCUUUUGGCUAGUUCGAGACCUGCAAUCAUGACCUUAUAUUCGGCCUUGUUGUUAGUCAAUUUCACUGUCCUAAUAGAUUGUCUGACUACAUUACCUGUUGGUGGUUUUAAUACGAUGCCAAGUUCGAACCCUUUUCCGUUCGAAACGCCGUCCGUAAAGAGGGUCCAGAUCCCCGAAAAGGUUCCUGAGUUGAUUAAUAACUCUCUUUCGAUCUCGGGUAUUAGGUCCGGCAUAAAGUCGGCCACAAAGUCUUCCAAAUUUUGAGAUUUAAUGGCGAUCCAGUGUCAAUAUUCAAUAUCGUACCCAUUGAUUUCCACGGCCCAUCUGGCCAACCGUCCCGAGAGCUCGGGCUUAUGCAUGAUAUUCCUCAACGGAUAUAUAGUCAUGACACAUAUGGGGUGACACUAGAAGUAUGAUUUUAGCUUUCUAGAGGCGCUUAGCAAAGCGAGCACCAGCUUUUCUAGGUGAUGUACCUAGUUUUGGCCUCACCUAAGGUCCUGCUAACAUAGUAAAUUGGAAAUUGCGUACCUUACUCUUCCCAGACCAGGACUCUACGUACCGCUAUCUCCGAUACUGCCAAGUACAAGUAUAGUUACUCGUCUGUCCUUGGUGUGUGAAGAAACGGUGGACUCGAUAGAUACCGCUUGAGUUCCUCCAAGGCUCGUUGGCACUCCGGGGUCCAUGAGAAGUUAUUCUUCUUCUUCAAUAGUGUGAAGAACUGGCGGCUCUUGCCGGAGGACCUUGAGAUGAAUCACCCCAGGGUGGCUAUGCACCCGGUUAAUCUUUGCACGACCUUCACGUUAUCCACAACUGUUCUAUCUUUGAUGGCUUUUGAUCUUGUCAGGAUUGAUCUCGAUUCCCUGGUUGGAUACCACGAAUCCGGGGAAUUUACCUGACCCAACUCCAAACGCACAUUUCUUCGGGUUCAGCUUCAUAUUGUACUUUUUCAAUAUGCUGAAGUUUUCCUACAAAUGUUUUAAAUGGUCCUCUACUCGUAGUGACUUAACCAAUAUAUCGUCAAUGUAAACCUCCAUUGAUUUUCCUAUUUGUUCCUCGAACAUCCGAUUUACUAGGUGUUGGUAAGUGGCACCGACGUUUUUUUAACCCGAAUGGCAUCACGUUAUAACAGUAUGUGCCGUAUUUAGUGGUGAAGGAGGUUUUUUCCUGAUCACCCGGGUUCAUCCGUAUUUGGUUGUACCUAGAAUAGUUAUCUAGAAAACUAAGGAUCUCGUGGUUGGUCGUGGCGUCGAUCAUGCGAUCGAUGUUGGGCAAAGGGAAAGAAUCCUUGGGACAUACCUUAUUCAAAUCCUUAUAGUCUACACAUAUUCUUAAUUUUUUCCCUUUUUUAGGGGCUACUACUCCAUUUGCUAACCACUCCGGGUAUUUAACCUCCCGAAUGGACCAUAUUUUAAGGAGUUUAGAUACCUCGUCCUUGAUGAAAGUAUAUUUGACCUCGAGCUAGGGUCUCCUCUUCUGCUUGAUCGUAUGGAACUUUGGGUCCAGGCUCAACUUAUGAAUGGUUAUCUCCAGCGGGAUCCCUGCCAUAUCAAGGUGAGACCAAGCGAAACAAUCUUCAUUAGCUAUAAGAAAUUGAAUGAGUUUUUUCCUGAGCUCGAGGCUUAACCCCGUGCCCAGGUGUACCUUUCGAUCGGGCAAGUGUUCACUCAAUACGACUUGGUCUAGUUCUUCGACCGUUGGUUUUAUAGCGUAAGAAUCAUCGGGGGCUAUGAAAGAUUUGGGGACCCCGUAAUCACCAUCCUCGUCUACCGCUUGUUCCUCUGAUUCUGUUGAGGUUGGUAUCAGUGAUUGCUAUUUGGCACCGUCUUUGACCAUCUGGUUCGGAUCCUUCGAUGUUGAGAUUGUGGAUUUUGGGGUCACUUCAUCAACCGCGAACAUUUCCUUGGCGGUCUGUUGUUCCCCAUAAACUAUUUUGACUUCACUGGGUGUUGGAAAUUUCAGCACCUAGUGCAGUGUCGAGGGCACUGCUCUCAUGUUGUGGAUAUAAGGCCUCCCGAACAAAGAGUUGUACCUCAUGUCUCCUUUGAUCACAUAAAACUUAGCUUCCUGGAUGAUCCCGGUUAUGUUCACUGUUAAUGUUAUCUCAUCCUUAGUGGUUUCACAUGCCAUGUUGAAUCCGUUUAGAACUCGGACUGCAGGCACGAUUUGAUCUUGUAGACCGAGCUGCUCCACGACCCUCGAUCGGAUGAUGUUGGACGAGCUACUUGGAUUAAUUAACACACGUUUAACUCAAAUUUAUUUACGAGUACAAAUAUUACCAGUGCAUCAUUGUGAGGCUGCACGAUUCCUUCCGCGUCCUCUUGUUGAAAGACAAGGUUCCUUCCAGUACGUAAUCUCGAGUUCGUUUCUCCCUCGUCAUGGACACUUUGGUGCGCUUCAACAUCGACCCCUUAGGGACAUAGACCCCACCAAUGAUUAUGUUAAUGACGUGUUGAGGUUCUUCUUGUUCAGUUUGUUUGUUAGAAUCCCUAUUCCUAAAAUGAUUCUUGUUUCGAUCGCUCAGGAAUUCUCAAAGAUUCCCGUUGUUGAAUAUUCAGGCUACUUCCUCUCUCACCUGUCGGCAAUCCUCCGUUCUGUGGUCGUGAGUGCCGUGAUAUUUACACAUCUGGUUAGGAUCCCUUUGGGUUGGAUUAGAUUGUAGAGGAUGAGGCCAUUUUGUAUCUUUGAUGCGCCCGAUAACUGAUACAAUGGUGGCAACAUCGAUAUUAAAUUUGUAUUCCGAUAACCUCGGUGCUUCUUUAGGCCCGAUGGGCCUGUUGAAGCUGUUUUUGCUCAUGAGUCCUCAGUUUCUCUGACUUCGAUCACUUCUCCUUUCAUUUCUCAUAGAGUUCCGCCCGGACCCAUUGCUUCUUCGGUCUCCAUUAUACGACUGAUAACGAUCCCUGUUUGGUCUCAGUUUACGAUCGAUGUCUCUCCUGACUCUGUCGAUGGUUUUGAUAGGAUAAACGGACCCCGAAGAGGCCUUGAGUUGAUCAUCUUCCACUCUGAUUGUUGAUUGAUACCGAUUAUGUAUGUCAGCCUAAGUAACGGUCGGAUAUUCUAUCAGGUUUUGUUUCAACUAGUGUGAAGCCACCGAGCUUCGAACAUUGAGCCCUUGGGUGAAAGCCUGAAUGGCCAAAUCAUCAGCGACCCGUGGCAGGUCCAUUCGUUCUAUUUGAAAUCGGGACACGAACUCUCUGAGUAUCUCGUUAUCUUUCUGUUUUACUUUGAAAAUGUCCGAUUUUCUGGUCUCGACCUUAAUGGCCCCGACGUGUACUUUCAUGAAAGAACCUGCAAGUAUGGCAAAUGAGUCAAUAGAAUUAGGCGGUAAGUUGUGGUACCAUAUCAUAGCUUCUUUUGACAGGGUCACUCCGAACUUUUUCAACACGACAGACUCGUUCUCAUCAUCCUCCAAGUCGUUCCCUUUGAUGGCACAUGUGUAGGAGGUUACAUGCUCAUUUGGGUCGGUCUUUCCGUUAUACUUAGCAAUCUCGGGCAUGCAAAAUUUCUUAGGGAUCGGCUUUGGAUCCUUGCUCGGAGGAAAAGGUUUUUGUACGAACUUCUUGGAAUCCAGGCCUUUCAAUAUUGGCGGUGCUCUUGGGAUUUGGUCUGCCAUGGAAUUGUAGGUUUCCACGUUUUUGUCAUUAGCUUCGAUUUUCUUCUCCCCUGAUUCUAUAUGUUUUGUCAGCUCUUCGAGUACCGGUUCAUCCUUGCGGGUGAUUUCUCGGGGUGGAUCGGGUUCAAUUCUGCUCGGUGCACGACUUUGGUUCUGUAACUGAGCUAUCGCUGCAUGUUGAGCCUGCAACAUUUCAAAGAUUACCCAUAAAUCGAUUCCGUCUCCUCCAAUAUUUUGUGUAUUUUGAGUUGCCGAUCGGGCUCCACCAUGGACAAUAUUCUCGGGGUCGGUAGACAAGUUUGCGUCGAUAGCCAUAUAUAAAUUAGCGUCAAUCGGGCCCGCGACAGGAAUUUCGAUAGGAUCAAUAGCCAGUACCUCAUCACCGGGCGCUAUGUUGUUAUUUUCACCGUGAUGACCGGACUCAUUGUCAAAAUGUAGGGGUGCUGGUUGAGAAUUCGACAUUUUGAGUUUUACCCUCCAAUUAGAGACACUUCAAAGAAUAAGUGUAAAGUAGUGUGUGUUAUGGAGAUUUGUAUCAAAUAACCACUAUUAUCCUUAGCCCCACGGUGUGCGCCAAACUGUUUACCCUCGAAAUCGGAUAACAAUUAAAUUUGUAAGUGGUUUUAAGGAUAUAUGGACUAACUUGAUACAAAAUGAUAAAUUAGAUCACAAUUAAAAUAAAUAACGAUAAAGUAAAUGCAAACCAAAUGAAUUGAAUAGUAUCAGCCUCGGAAGGUUAGCCACCCUCGAGCCAGGUACGCUUCGAACGAUUUCAGGAUACAGAGGAACAAGAGCUUAAAGAGAAACAAUAACAAUGUAUUAUUUUGGGAUGCGUGUUACAACAUGUUUAAUGAAUUAUUAAAUCCCUCUUUAUAUAGUAGAUGAGUCCUACUUUAGGUACAAUUCUAUAAAAGGUAAAAAAUCUCUUGAUUAGCUGAUUGACGGUUCCUUACUGAUAAGCGCCGAGAUUCUCGCCGUAAUACCUGACCAGUCACGAAUAUUUAGGUCUUCUGCUGGUUAUGCUAACAAUUUUUCUUUGAGCUUGAUCGGGGCUAAGUUCGACUCGGGGAUUACAAGCUCAAUGUUCUCGAAGACUAGCAUUCUAACCCCGAGUUCUAGCUCAGUGGGACUCGGGGUCGAUCUUCAGUCUUUGGUUGUCAUGUUCCGAGCCUAACUUGCCAUGUCGUAGGUGAACUCGAUUCCGACCAUAUACAAUGCUCGAUGCCAUCUUUCAAGUUUGACACUCAGAAUCAUCUUGUUACAACUACCAUAGCUAUACAAAAUUUCAUCCGACGACAUUCUUCUACCGAUACGGAAUUCAACUAUUAUGCUAAUGAAGCAUUACUGCAGAGAUUGAGGAAUGAGAUGAGCCUUCUGCUUUCCUUUAGAAAUUCAAGGCAAGUCUUCUACUAAUAUGAAGGUGUUGUGUUAUAGAAUUAGAGAUGAAAUUGUUGAGAAAUAUUAUCAUGUGUGUGCGACUUUGCUUAUUAUUUCAUAGUGGAUUAUCAAUAUAUAGUAAUUUGUGGAAUAAACUUCUAAUUCAUACUGAAUGAUGUAUUUUGAUUAUUCAAAUCAUCAUAUAAACAAUAAGUAAUUAUACUAGAUAAUAUUAUAUGCUUUGGUGCAACUAUAUAUGUUAUAUUAAUUUAAAUCUUUAAUAUGUAUGUUUACUUUAUAUUUUAUAUUUUAAUUAAAUAAAAUAAAAAAUAAUAAAAGUUUACGAUAAAUAUUUAAGUUCAUUUUUCUCUUUAAAAUAAUUACAAGACUUCGGUACUAUCCUUUUUGGUAAUUUGACACUCAAAAGUACUUUUUAGAAAGGCCGGUCAAAUACAAUUUGUUUACCAAAUGUUGCAAAAAGUAUUUCUUAAAUGAAUUGGCCAAACACAAAGUGUUUUUUCCCAAAAGUACUUUUGGAUAAAGCACUUCUGGAAAAAAUUACUUUUCAAAAUAAACAGUGUUUGGCAGCUUGGCCAAACGGGCCCUAAACUCCAUAUAUCCAGUAGAAUGAUACCAUAAUAGGUCAAGAAUUCUAAUUCAACAAACUUGGUAGGAGGAUCAUCCAACAACACAGCCAUAAAGACUAGACUUUUAUAGCAUGUUUGCUCAAGCUUUUAAAAGGCCAAAAGUCUUUUGUCCCAAAAAAUAUUUUUUUAGAAAUCGAGGUGUUUGGUCAAAACGGAGAAGUGCUUUUGAGUAGCCUACUCAUCUCCCCUUAAUUUAGAUAAGUACUUAAUAUUUUUUCUACCUUCUCCUACUCUUCUUUCUAAUAGUUUUUCUAUUAUAAAUAUAUUUUUUUCUGUCUUUUUUCUUUUCAUCCUCUCUUAUUGCAACUCUCAUUCCUUUUUUGAAAUAACUAAGCUAAUCACCAUAUUUAAGUAUUUUUUUCAUGAGGUAUGAUUCGUUAUGCUUUUUUUGUAAUAUACCAUAUGCGAAAUAUUAUUAUUUUGGUAUAACCAUAUUUUAUAUUGAUUAAAAUCUUUAAUUUGUAUUAUUAGUUUAUGUUUUAUAUUUUAAUUAAAUCGAAAUAAAAGGAGAAAAUGACUCUCUAUAGCCUCUCAAAAUUUUAAUAGCCCAUAUUUUUUCGUUGACACGAAACGUCCCUUCGGUCCAAAUAUAUUACAUAUAAUAGCCCGAAAUAUCUAUUUUGUAUAUUUUUGUAUAGUGACAGUCUAUUUUGUAUAUAUUUUGUAUAGUGACAGUCUAUUUAGUAUAUUUUUUGUAUAGUGAUAGUCUAUUGUAUAUAAAUUGUACAGUGACAGUCUAUUUUAUAUAUAUUUUGUAUAGUGACAGUCUAUUUUAUAUAUAUUUUGUAUAGUGACAUUCUAUUAUAUAUGAACUGUAUAGUGACAAUCUAUUUAGUAUAUUUUUUGUAUAGUGAUAGUCUAUUUUGUAUAUAUUUUGUAUAGUGACAGUCUAUUGUAUAUAAUUUAUAUAGUGACAGUCUAUUUAGUACAUAUUUUGUAUAGUAACAAUAUAUUUUGUAUAUAUUUCAACGUUAUGCAUAGUUAUGUGAGAAAAAACAAUCAUAAAAAUUCCUGUUAUUUCCCGUGACUUCAAACUCCCAACUCAAAACCCUAUAACUCCAUUGAAACACAACACUAAAAGCUUCUUACUUUCCCAUUUCUUCCUGUUAUUUAUCAAUGCACCGUUAAUUCGCUAAAAGAUAAAGAAAAAAGAAAAGAAAAAGAUGAUGAGGUCACCUUAGGUACGAAACGACAUCGUUGAUACACCGUCGCCGUCACACUUUCUCUCCACACUGUCCGUACACAAGCUCCGGAGUUUCAACAUUUUGAAUUAUCGUCUUCCGAUUUGCUUCCUUCUGCUUCUCUCUUGUUUACUAAUUCUCGUCCCGGCGGCUCCGAUUUUCCUCAGUGGCACCACUUUCAGGUUUUUCAAUUGCUAGCCAUUAUUAUUGUUUUUAGGUUAUAACUUGUAUGAGGUCAUUUAGUGGCUACUGGGUGAUAUAAGUUUGGCCUGAGUGACUACAAAUAAAUUUUGCUCAAAUAAAAACUUAAUUAAAUUCUUUUUCGUUUCUAUCUUAAAUAUACUAAUAGUAUACUGAACCUUGACAGUAAUUUGACACUCAAAAGCACUUUUUGUAAAGAUUAGUUUUGCU